ACGUCCAGAUCAUGUUGAAACAUCGGUUCCCGUACGAUUACCCAAAGUUAAGCAACGUCGAGGCGGCUAAUUACCUAGAUGGGUGACCACUUGGGAAUACCAGGUGCUGUAA
rnacentral:rRNA from 1 species